ACCUUCUCCAACUUACUCCUGACCUUAAAGGAAGGAUGGUCCAGUGGUUAGGAUACUAGCCUGUGACUCAGGAGGAUGCAGGGCAGAUGCUGCAGAACUUGCUUUGCUGACAAGGCGUUUGUGCCAGGAAAUGGGACAGACAAACCUGAAUCUCCUUGAAGACAUCCCUUUGUGUCACACUUUAACUCUGCGGCCAGCUGUCACUGUUGAAAGCAAGCUGAUCCCAUCAGUACAGACAUUGGAGGCUGAAAGGAUGUUUGAAUCCAAAAGAUUGAAUAAGAUUGACCUUGAAAACAAGACUGCUCAGCAAACUGAGUCUGACCUGAAAGGCAAGAGAAUUGGUGCAAGGAGGCCAGUUCCACCCUUCUGAUAGCCUCAUACCUGGCCCAGAUCUUUGAAGCCCUGGCUCCAGUCUCACUCAGGCCUCUUACUCAGUUAGAACGUCUGCCAGGGCCAACAGUGCAAAUCGUGGCCUCACUUUGUGCCAUUGUAAGCCAGCAAACAACGACCUUCAGAAAAAUUCUGCUCUGAGUAAGGACUUCAAGAAUUGAUCCAUCACUGCCAGGAAUCCUCAUGACUCAACACUUACCUGCCUAGCAAGGAUGGGCUGCCACAACUCGGUUUGUAAUACACAGAAAAGCUGGAUGUAAGAGAUGACAAGGUCAUGAAUAAAUUCCAUCCUUGUACCA
rnacentral:lncRNA from 1 species